rnacentral:rRNA from 1 species
UGGGGAAUUUUGGACAAUGGGCGAAAGCCUGAUCCAGCAAUGCCGCGUGUGUGAAGAAGGCCUUCGGGUUGUAAAGCACUUUUGUCCGGAAAGAAAUCCUUGGCUCUAAUACAGUCGGGGGAUGACGGUACCGGAAGAAUAAGCACCGGCUAACUACGUGCCAGCAGCCGCGGUAAUACGUAGGGUGCAAGCGUUAAUCGGAAUUACUGGGCGUAAAGCGUGCGCAGGCGGUUUGCUAAGACCGAUGUGAAAUCCCCGGGCUCAACCUGGGAACUGCAUUGGUGACUGGCAGGCUAGAGUAUGGCAGAGGGGGGUAGAAUUCCACGUGUAGCAGUGAAAUGCGUAGAGAUGUGGAGGAAUACCGAUGGCGAAGGCAGCCCCCUGGGCCAAUACUGACGCUCAUGCACGAAAGCGUGGGGAGCAAACAGGAUUAGAUACCCUGGUAGUCCACGCCCUAAACGAUGUCAACUAGUUGUUGGGGAUUCAUUUCCUUAGUAACGUAGCUAACGCGUGAAGUUGACCGCCUGGGGAGUACGAUCGCAAGAUUUAAAACUCAAAUGAAUUGACGGGGUCAUAGCUGUUUCCU